UUCUUUUUCCUGUCGCCUCCCCUGGACAACAUCCCCGCCUAAACACUUUGUGCCGUCCUCCCUAUCCAUGGCCGCAUAGAGAUCAUUAGGGAGACAGAGAAUGAAGAAGAGAAGAGGAGAGGAGAGAUUAGAGGGAGGGGUGUUGGUGUCUCUCCUACUGAAGGGGAAGGGGAAGGCAGCAAGGGGAACAAGCAAAACGGAACGAGAUUGAGGAGUGGAUCACGAAGAUGUGCUAGAUCGCCGUGUGCUCGUUGUUCCCUUCGUUGUUGUUCACGGCAAACCCUAGGUAGUCAAGGCAUGUCAUGAUGGGAUGGGAAGUAGAAGCACAUUUCAUUGAACCAUAUUUCCACUUAAAAUUUUGUGUUGUAGCCAUAUUAAAAGUUUAGUUCAUGAAGUUCUUUGUUUAUUUUUUUUAACUGUGUGACAAUUGUUUAAGCUUAUAUGCUUCUUUCUUGGUGCUUGUUUGGAUAAUGUUAUAAAUGAUUCUUUGCUUUAUAUAUCAUUUAUCACUAUUA